GAAAGUUUGCAAUCCAGACAACGACCUCGCAAAGAAUCAAGCAUAGCAUCGGUGCGGUUGGCGUAGUGAUGACGCAACUGACUUUAAAUUCAGUGGACGAGUAAGGAGGGCACUGGAUCGUUCUCCAUGCCACACAGAUCCAAAAGAUCACACAAGGUCCAAGGGAGAGUUUCUUCCUGGGCAACACACUUCACAGUUUUUAGAUGUGCUUAAUCAUCUGGCUCAAAGCUCAAGCUGAAAAUGGAGCUUAGGUGCACCCUAAUUCCACAGAUGAUCCUUGGCAUUUUUUCUGCAGUCCACUUGUUGUAAAUUCAAUUGAUUGGACAUGAUUUGGAAAGGCAUACACUUGUCCUCACAGUUGAUAUGAAGCCAAAGGAGAAGGGAUUGUCUCCAAGCAAAAAGAGGGUACAGACAAAACGCUUCUGCUUUGAAGGGCCAUAUGAGCACAACAGUCUCCAUCAUUUGUAAAUGGAAUACGUUUGUAACCACCAAGACGAUGCUCUAGCCUGAUGACACAAAGACUGAACUCUUCCAUGUUAAUGGAAUGCAUCAUAUUUGAAGGAAAUCAGGCACUGCUCCUCACCGAGGUAACAGUAUAGAGGAUAAGGUGAAUGCAGCCAGGUACACAUACAACCCGCAUGAAAACCUGCUCCAGAGCACUUGACCUCAACUUUGAACCGCCUGACUAAAUCACAAUCAAAAUUUCAAGUUGAGGUGCAGUCGAAAGUUGCUUAUUUUCUGCAGUGCUCAAUCACUGCCACAUCAUAAAAAGCAUGAAAAGACGAUAACUGUACAGUCAUGAAAAACAGUGGCAAAAAAGUUACACUUCCGCUGCAAAUCAUUGUACAGGAUGAAAGUACUGUUGAUACCAGAGCCACGCAAUACAACUAUAAUAUUCCUGUACGAUUUGUAUGUCCUUCCCCUGCAGAUUUUCAUAAUCCUUUAACAUUUAAGUAAAAAAGGGUGACUGUGCAGAAAGAGGGCAUACGCAUAAUAAAAAAAAACAGAUA